UACGUAGGGUGCGAGCGUUGUCCGGAAUUAUUGGGCGUAAAGAGCUCGUAGGCGGUUUGUUGCGUCGGCCGUGAAAACCUGCAGCUUAACUGUGGGCCUGCGGCCGAUACGGGCAGACUUGAGUUCGGUAGGGGAGACUGGAAUUCCUGGUGUAGCGGUGAAAUGCGCAGAUAUCAGGAGGAACACCGGUGGCGAAGGCGGGUCUCUGGGCCGAUACUGACGCUGAGAAGCGAAAGCGUGGGGAGCGAACAGG
rnacentral:rRNA from 1 species